UCUCUCUCUCUCUCUCUCUCUCUCUCUCUCUCUCUCAACACCAUCAAUCAAACGACUAAGAAUCUCACCGGCACAUCUCACCAAAACCCUUCAUCUCCAAGCGCCAUGAACGGCCUCCUAGCCGGAGAAGAAGACUAACCCACUACCAUGGCCGCUUUCAAGCCAUGGAGUAAAGUGCAGAUGCAUGUGCAGGACCUCGAUCAUGACGCAAAACGAUUGGAAAUCCGGACGCAAUUAGGAAAUGGAGAAGAACAAAACCCUAACUUUUGAAGACUCGCGUUGAAUGUCAAGGCCAAGAUUUCGGUGAUAAGGGGGAAAAUAAAUGAUAGGAUGAAGAUACUCCAAGCUUUUGUUCCUGGAUGUGAGAUUGAAGCAAAUAGUAGAAAUCACAACUUCAGCAAAGAACUCGUAAUAUUUUCUGAAUGUAUUUUGCUGAUUAAAUCUUCAAAUGCAAAUCUUUUGGAUUUUGAAAUGCGUUCUUACUUGUCAUUUUACCGACAAGAUAAAAAGCUUUACUUGUUUUGUUACUCUACAUUUGUGGACAUAUGAUUCAAUGCAUGAAUGAAAAAGUUUAUUCCCAAAUCACUGACUAUAGAAAGGAUAGAAUCAACUCUUAGGUCUUGUGCAUUCUCUAUUUUAUCUUGGAUUUGUAACUUUCUUUUGGGGAACUAAAUUCACUACCAAUUCCAAUUUCUUUCUUUCUUUCUUUUUCCUCUUUUGUUCAAUCUAAUUAUAGAAAAAGAAUGAUUGAGUUUGGUCACAUUAUUUAAUGUUGGAGGUAGUUUGCCAAAUCAAAGUAGUUAGCCUUCUAUCAAUAAAAUGUUAUUUUGCUUAUAGUCUC